GGGCGCAUGGUGUAGCUGGUUUAUCACGCUCGCUUAGCAUCGACAAGUUCUGGGCUUGCGAGAGGUCCCCGAUUCGAGUUCGGGUGUGUCCA